GAUGAACGCUGGCGGCGUGCCUAAUGCAUGCAAGUCGAGCGAAUGGAUUAAGAGCUUGCUCUUAUGAAGUUAGCGGCGGACGGGUGAGUAACACGUGGGUAACCUGCCCAUAAGACUGGGAUAACUCCGGGAAACCGGGGCUAAUACCGGAUAACAUUUUGAACCGCAUGGUUCGAAAUUGAAAGGCGGCUUCGGCUGUCACUUAUGGAUGGACCCGCGUCGCAUUAGCUAGUUGGUGAGGUAACGGCUCACCAAGGCAACGAUGCGUAGCCGACCUGAGAGGGUGAUCGGCCACACUGGGACUGAGACACGGCCCAGACUCCCACGGGAGGCAGCAGUAGGGAAUCUUCCGCAAUGGACGAAAGUCUGACGGAGCAACGCCGCGUGAGUGAUGAAGGCUUUCGGGUCGUAAAACUCUGUUGUUAGGGAAGAACAAGUGCUAGUUGAAUAAGCUGGCACCUUGACGGUACCUAACCAGAAAGCCACGGCUAACUACGUGCCAGCAGCCGCCGUAA
rnacentral:rRNA from 1 species